GGACUAACGCUGGCGGCGUGCUUAACACAUGCAAGUCGAACGGAAAGGCCCUGCUUUUGUGGGGUGCUCGAGUGGCGAACGGGUGAGUAACACGUGAGUAACCUGCCCUUGACUUUGGGAUAACUUCAGGAAACUGGGGCUAAUACCGGAUAGGAGCUCCUGCUGCAUGGUGGGGGUUGGAAAGUUUCGGCGGUUGGGGAUGGACUCGCGGCUUAUCAGCUUGUUGGUGGGGUAGUGGCUUACCAAGGCUUUGACGGGUAGCCGGCCUGAGAGGGUGACCGGCCACAUUGGGACUGAGAUACGGCCCAGACUCCUACGGGAGGCAGCAGUGGGGAAUAUUGCACAAUGGGCGGAAGCCUGAUGCAGCAACGCCGCGUGCGGGAUGACGGCCUUCGGGUUGUAAACCGCUUUCGCCUGUGACGAAGCGUGAGUGACGGUAAUGGGUAAAGAAGCACCGGCUAACUACGUG
rnacentral:rRNA from 1 species